UCCUAACCAUUGGAAUAUUCAAAGA
rnacentral:misc_RNA from 1 species